CCGCGUGAGUGAUGAAGGUUUUCGGAUCGUAAAGCUCUGUUGUUAGGGAAGAACAAGUGCGAGAGUAACUGCUCGCACCUUGACGGUACCUAACCAGAAAGCCACGGCUAACUACGUGCCAGCAGCCGCGGUAAUACGUAGGUGGCAAGCGUUGUCCGGAAUUAUUGGGCGUAAAGGGCUCGCAGGCGGUUUCUUAAGUCUGAUGUGAAAGCCCCCGGCUCAACCGGGGAGGGUCAUUGGAAACUGGGAAACUUGAGUGCAGAAGAGGAGAGUGGAAUUCCACGUGUAGCGGUGAAAUGCGUAGAGAUGUGGAGGAACACCAGUGGCGAAGGCGACUCUCUGGUCUGUAACUGACGCUGAGGAGCGAAAGCGUGGGGAGCGAACAGGAUUAGAUACCCUGGUAGUCCACGCCGUAAACGAUGAGUGCUAAGUGUUAGGGGGUUUCCGCCCCUUAGUGCUGCAGCUAACGCAUUAAGCACUCCGCCUGGGGAGUACGGUCGCAAGACUGAAACUCAAAGGAAUUGACGGGGGCCCGCACAAGCGGUGGAGCAUG
rnacentral:rRNA from 1 species